UUUUCUUUUUUGUUGUGAUUUGCUGUUAUGUCAAAUUGGCAUUAUGUGUAGGAUUCAUCCAGUGGUCUUAGAUAGAGCUACACAUCUAUGCUGAUCCAUCGUCACAGAUUUCGAGGCGACGGUUAUCAGGGUCAUCUUAGGGUCGUCAAGCAAUUUAUGCUGAUAUGUAAGUGUCAUAUAAAAAAAUUAAUUAGGGAAUGAAAUCAUUGGUAAUUUUUUUUUUUUUUUCUUUUCCCUUAAAAAUGAAAAAAUUUAUCCCAUUCGGCAAUCCUAAAAUUUAAUAUUGCACCGUGUGGAUCCGAUACCAAUAGUUCAAUUAUAGACUUGUGAUUUGAAAACAAGAAGGGUUGUCGGGGUUUAAUUCCUUUUGGUACAUCAAAGGAAAGAGUACAUAAUUCUCCGCUGUUUGCUUUCACGUUCAUACUGGAGCGAAUCCGCUUCUUGUAUUUUGUUUCGAUUAGAUGAGUUAAAAACCAAGUUUGCGUAGUUCUUCGUCUAUUUGGGAAGCUAAUUAAAAUAGUGUCAAUAUUUUACAUAAUUGCUCCUUUCAUAAAAUUGGUCAAACCUUUUCCUUGAUGGAUGUUAGUUCUUCGACGACUUGGGAAGAUGACAUCCUUUUUUUAGGUUCAUCUUCCAACAUUUUUAAAAGUAGAUUAUCCUUGUAAAAUUCGCGUACUUUGCCGUCAAUUUCUAUAAUAAAAAUGUGAACUCUUCGUUAA